AGUAAUGCCUAGGAAUCUGCCUGGUAGUGGGGGAUAACGUCCGGAAACGGGCGCUAAUACCGCAUACGUCCUGAGGGAGAAAGUGGGGGAUCUUCGGACCUCACGCUAUCAGAUGAGCCUAGGUCGGAUUAGCUAGUUGGUGGGGUAAAGGCCUACCAAGGCGACGAUCCGUAACUGGUCUGAGAGGAUGAUCAGUCACACUGGAACUGAGACACGGUCCAGACUCCUACGGGAGGCAGCAGUGGGGAAUAUUGGACAAUGGGCGAAAGCCUGAUCCAGCCAUGCCGCGUGUGUGAAGAAGGUCUUCGGAUUGUAAAGCACUUUAAGUUGGGAGGAAGGGCAGUAAGUUAAUACCUUGCUGUUUUGACGUUACCAACAGAAUAAGCACCGGCUAACUUCGUGCCAGCAGCCGCGGUAAUACGAAGGGUGCAAGCGUUAAUCGGAAUUACUGGGCGUAAAGCGCGCGUAGGUGGUUCAGCAAGUUGGAUGUGAAAUCCCCGGGCUCAACCUGGGAACUGCAUCCAAAACUACUGAGCUAGAGUACGGUAGAGGGUGGUGGAAUUUCCUGUGUAGCGGUGAAAUGCGUAGAUAUAGGAAGGAACACCAGUGGCGAAGGCGACCACCUGGACUGAUACUGACACUGAGGUGCGAAAGCGUGGGGAGCAAACAGGAUUAGAUACCCUGGUAGUCCACGCCGUAAACGAUGUCGACUAGCCGUUGGGAUCCUUGAGAUCUUAGUGGCGCAGCUAACGCGAUAAGUCGACCGCCUGGGGAGUACGGCCGCAAGGUUAAAACUCAGAUGAAUUGACGGGGGCCCGCACAAGCGGUGGAGCAUGUGGU
rnacentral:rRNA from 1 species